rnacentral:rRNA from 1 species
GAUGAACGCUGGCGGCGUGCCUAAUACAUGCAGGUCGUACGGAAAGGCCCUUCGGGGUACUCGAGUGGCGGACGGCUGAGUAACGCGUGGGAACGUGCCCCAAAGUGAGGGAUAACGCACCGAAAGGUGUGCUAAUACCGCAUAUGGUCUUCGGAUUAAAGCUUCUGGCGCUUUGGGAGCGGCCCGCGUACGAUUAGAUAGUUGGUGAGGUAAUGGCUCACCAAGUCGACGAUCGUUAGCUGGUCUGAGAGGAUGAUCAGCCAGACUGGGACUGAGACACGGCCCAGACUCCUACGGGAGGCAGCAGUAAGGAAUCUUCCACAAUGGGGGCAACCCUGAUGGAGCAACGCCGCGUGCAGGAUGAAGGUUUUCGGAUCGUAAACUGCUUUUAUAAGUGAAGAAUAUGACGGUAACUUAUGAAUAAGGAUCGGCUAACUACGUGCCAGCAGCCGCGGUAAAAC